CUCACCAUGGGAUGGAGCUGGAUCAUUGUCUUCUUUGUGUCAGUGACUACAGGUGUCCACUCCCAGGUCCAGCUGCAGCAGUCUGGUCCUCAGCUGGUGAAGCCUGGAGCCUCAGUGAAGUUGUCCUGCAAGGCUUCUGGCUACACCUUUACUAGCAACUAUAUGAGCUGGGUGAAGCAGAGGCCUGGACAGGGCUUGGAGUGGAUGGGUCGUCUCAACCCUUACAAUGGAGACACGAUCUAUGCACAGAAGUUCCAAGGACGGAUCUCCAUUACCAGAGACACAUCCUCAAGCACAGCCUACAUGGAGCUCAGCAGCCUGACAUCUGAUGAGUCUGGGUUCUUUUACUGUGCAAGACACACACACUGUUGCAACCACAUCCUGAGUGUGUCAGAAACCCUGGAGGGGCAGGAAGCUGCCCUGGGACUGAAGUGACAGAGAAGUUUAGCCUGGAGUCUUUCUCAGAAAUAAUCACUUGAGUGGCAAUUUUUCUGCCCCCCUCCUCACAGUCCUAAGUGUCUUUGUCAACUUUUCCAAAUUAUAGCUGUAAAUAAAAUGAUGCUGAAUGAGGUUCAGUAACCACAUCCUUUUACAUGUAUCUUCUGUAAUGAAACACUAAAGGGAAAACUCUGAAAAUGCAUAGUGAGAAAACUAUCGCUGGAUUCUAAGAGACUGGAACAUCCGAUGGA